AUCCCGGCCCCCGCCGCCAAAACCCUGUGCAUCCUGAACCUGGGAGUGUCCUUUAAAGAAGCCAUACAAGGGAGCUCCCUGAGGUCCUCCCCUAAACGGCCUCUGACUCUCCUACCUGGAAGCAGAGCCCAAGAACGUUGAGCUGAUGAGAGGACUCCGGGCUUGGCCACGUAUGGGAAAGCAGCCUGUUGCAUGUCCAAGAGUGACGCCAUCUUGAAGCAAAACCGCCAUGAUGAUCGAUGUUUGACCCCCACAUACCAAGAAACCACAACCGCUUCCCUGCAGCAUAGAGCCGGCCUCCAGGAACGAACUGUGCCAGCUGUCAAGUCUCAGUUCUCAAGAAAGCCUGUCAGGAAAAAAGUGCAGAGAAGAGAAAGAGACAGCACCCUCGCUUCUCAGAAAUCCUGUGAUUAACAGAUCUGCCUAACGUCUGAAGUCAUGCACUAUUCAUUCGACAAACUGUAAUUGAAAUCCUGCUCUGUGUCCAGCCCUGAGCUGUGUGUGUAGUACUGACAACAUGGCCCCAGCCCUUUCCUCAGGAGACUCAAAGUCCAGGGGCAGAGACAGACACAUCUUCCAGUGUUAUGGUUUGGCUCCGUGUCCCCACCCAAAUCUCAUCUCGAAUUGUAAUCCCCAUGUGUGAGGGAAUGACCGGGUGGGAGGUGAUUGGGUCAUGGGGACGGUUUCUCACUUGCUGUUCUUGUGAUAAUGAGGGAGGUUUCACGAGAUCUGAAGGUUUAAAAGUGGCAGUUUCCCUUGCGCUCUCUCUCUCUCUGUCUCUCUCUCUCUUUCUCUGCUGCCGUCAUGUAAGACAUGCCUUACUUCUCCCUUGACCUUCUGCCAUAAUUGUAAGUUUCCUGAGUCCUCCUCAGCCAUGCAGAAUUGUGAGUCAAUUAAACCUCUUUUCAGUCCAGGCGCAGUGGUUCACACCUGUACUUCCAGCACUUUGGGAGGCCAAAGCAGGCAGAUCAUCUGAGGUCAGGAGUUCAAGACCAUCCUGGCCAACAUGGUGAAACCCAUCUCUCCUGAAAAUGCAAAAAUUAGCCAGGCAUGGUGGUGGACACCUGUAACCUCAGCUACUUGGGAGGCUGAGGCAGGAGAAUCGCUUGAACUGAGGAGGUGGAGGUUACACUGAGCCAACUUCUCUCCACUGCGCUCCAGCCUGGGCAACAGAAUUGCCAGGGAGUUGGAAAAAUCCCCUUGCACUAUGGGCUAUAGACUAGUGGCUGUCACUGCUACUGGAUUCUUUAUCACUGGAAAAGCAGAAAGUUGGGGUGAGUUCCCUGUGAAGUCCCAGACCAGGAGGAUGGAUGUAGGAGGAGGGCCUCUCUUUGUUCUUGUUUUUUGUUUGUUUGGUUGGUUGGUUGGUUGGUUGGUUUGGUUUGGUUUUUGUGGGGUUUUUUGUUUUGUUUUGUUUCUGAGACAAGGUCUUGCUCUGUCACCCAGGCUGGAGUACAAUGUCAUGAUCACAGCUCACUGCAGCCUCAACCUCCCAGGGAUCAAGCUAUCCUCCCACCCCAGCCUCCUGAGUAGCUGGGACUACAGGCGCGUGCCACCACAUACCUGGCUAACUUUUGUAUUUUUUUUGUAGAGACGAGGUUUCACCAUGUUGUCCAGACUGAUCUAGAACUCCUGGGCUCAAGCGAUCCUCCCACUUCGGCCUCCCAAAGUGCUAGAAUUACAGGUGUGAGCCACCGCGCCCGGCCAGGAAAGCCUCUCUUCAACAAGCAUCUCCAGUGUGCCAGGCUCUGGAAGGAGAACUCAAGUCUCUCAUUUUAUGACCCUCCCUUUCCAAAUGGGGAAACUGAGGCUCAGAGGAGACAUGUGACUCCUCCAACAUCACACAGAGGGGAAGGAUGGAAAAGUUUCCUCCCACCUCCAUCCCGUGGGCACCCAGUUCCCUUUCCAGAGGCAAUGGUAUUUAUUACCUUGUGGGUAUUUCUUGACAUGUUCUAGGCAUACGCAAGCAUUUCCACACAGAUUUUUUUUUUUACACAAUAGUGGUACACUGUUCUGUAUCUUAUCUUUUAUUUUACUUAACAUUAUUUUCAAGAUCUUUCCAGAUUAAUACAAAUAGACGUGCCUCAUUUUAUUUAUUUUAUUAAUUAAUUUAUUUUUGAGACAGAGUCUCCCUCUGUCACCUAGGCUAGAGUGCAGUGGCAUGAUCUUGGCUCACCGCAACCUCCACCUCCCAAGUUCAAGCGAUUCUCCUGCCUCAGCCUCCCAAGUCGCUGGGAUUACAGGCACCCGCCACCAUGCCCAGCUAAUUUUUGUAUUUUUAGUAGAGAGGGGGUUUCGCCAUGUUGGCCAGGCUGGUCUCGAACUCCUGACCUCAGGUGAUCCACCCACCUCGGCCUCCCAAAGUGCUGGGAUUACAAGCGUGAACCACUGCGCCCGGCUCAUUUUAUUUUUAUAAUGCCCAUAAAGCAUCAAACUGUGUGAGCACACCAUCAUAAGCAUAACCGGUUCCCUCCUGAUAAACAUUUAGGUUAUUCCUAAUGUUUUGUUAUUCCAAACACUACUGCAAUUAACAUCCUUGGGCAGACCUGACAUCGGCCACAGGCGUCCAUGUCUACAUAUGAGAUAAAUUCCUGAGAAAAAAACCUGCCAAGUCAGAAGCGAUCUGCAUUUGUCAUUUAGAGAGACGUUUCCAAAUUGCACCCCAAUUACCCUCACCUGCAACUGAUUGACCAACCAUUUCUCAAAAGGGCUUUUUGAGCUCUCUCUCUCUCUCUCGCUGUCUCUGUAUUUUUUUAAUGUUUGACAGCAAGAAAAUAGUCAUGUCUUGCUUAUGUAAUUAAAAUUAAACAAGCCCUUCGUUAAAAACACACAAACCCAGGAAGAAGAGAAACCAGCAAGGCCAGUUCAGGCAGAUCCACCCUGCCCCUUGUCACACCUGCCUUGUCCCCAGCAAGUCCUGAAAAAGAGGCUGAAAUCAAUUUCUCACGCAUGGACCUCAGACAUCAAACCUUGGAAAAAAUACAGGAAAGAGAUUUUGUAACUUUCCCCCUCUGUGGCUUUUCAUACGGCUAAAUCCUCUCACUCUCUCUUCCCUUUCUUUCUCCUCCUCCUUUUUCUUCUUUCUCUCACUUCUGUUUUGGUGAGCUGUCAUUAAAAACACUUUAAAGCCA